UACGUAGGGUGCAAGCGUUGUCCGGAAUUAUUGGGCGUAAAGAGCUCGUAGGCGGUCUGUCACGUCGGCUGUGAAAUCCCGAGGCUCAACCUCGGGUCUGCAGUCGAUACGGGCAAACUAGAGUAUUGCAGGGGAGACUGGAAUUCCUGGUGUAGCGGUGGAAUGCGUAGAGAUCCGGAAGAACACCGGUGGCGAAGGCGGUCUGCUGGGCCAAGACUGACGCUGAGGCGCGAAAGCUAGGGUAGCAAACGGG
rnacentral:rRNA from 1 species